UACGUAGGUGGCAAGCGUUGUUCGGAAUUACUGGGCGUAAAGCGCGUGUAGGCGGCUCUUCAAGUCAGACGUGAAAGCCCCGGGCUUAACUCGGGAACUGCGUUUGAUACUGGCGAUCUCGAGUCCGGGAGAGGUGAGUGGAACUGCGAGUGUAGAGGUGAAAUUCGUAGAUAUUCGCAAGAACACCAGUGGCGAAGGCGGCUCACUGGCCCGGUACUGACGCUGAGGUGCGAAAGCGUGGGGAGCAAACAGG
rnacentral:rRNA from 1 species